rnacentral:lncRNA from 1 species
GAGCCUGCGGGCGGCGGAGCGGAGGGCGCGGCGGGCGGAGUUAGUUGGUAGGCUCCGGCUCUCUGGGCGGGGAAAGGCCGAGCACGCGGCGGCCUCGGCGGAGGGGGCUCUCUCCUGGAGCGCGCGGGGCCCAACCCCGUCCGCAGUUCGCCCUCGGAUAAGGGGUUCAGCUCCCAGUCCCUCCCCGCGGGGCGGCUCCGCUGUUGCCGGCCGCCCCCGAGCCCGCCCCGUGCUCGCGCCUCCGCUCCGCCCCUGUCUCCUCGGGCGCGGGGGCCGCGGGGGUUGGGAAGGAGGUCCCCGCAGAGUCAGCUCCCGGUCGCGCGCAGCUUCCCGAGGUUUCUCUGCGGGAUUCGCUGUCCUGGGUGUUUGGACUCACGUGUGGGCAGAGAAUGAGGGACACUUCCAAAGGUACUUGAUGGCAAACUUCUCUCACACCCUCAAUGUCUUGGUGGGCGUGGCUACAGCUUCAGCUGUGCUGACCGAGAGCCAGUGUGCCUGAGGAAGCUACCACCAAGCCUGGAUGUCAGACGUUACAGCCUCAGCACGUCCUACCCUGUGUGCAGUCCAGCCACUGAGUGCACAAGCAUAAUGUGUAUUCAUGGAGUGAAGCCAAACACGCCCACCAUUUCGCAGAGAAAACGUGAAUAUGAAGUUUCCUUUGAAAACAAAGGGAUCGCCACACUCUGAUCAGCUCUGGGGUGUACAGAAGAACAAGACUGGAACUGGCAUUCUAAGGACAUAAAUUAUCAUUUAAAUGAGGCUAGACUCUUAUGAAAUUUAUGCAUCAGACCUCAAGAUAUGAAAAGUGCAAUAAGAGGUAGUUAGGCCAAGUCCAACUUCCUUGAUGUAAUGCAAAUGUGAAACCUUUCUCUCUUUCUUUUCUUGGGCAAACUCCCACUCUCCCCUCUUUCACUGCAUGAUGCACACAUAAAUAAAUUACCAAAAUAUUUUUCAGAAAGCUCUGCCAGGUUAAGUGCACAGAGCCUUCUCAAGUACUUCAAAUUACUUUCUCUUGUCGCACUUUAAAAUAGACUUG